rnacentral:rRNA from 1 species
AUGGAUCGUUCAUCGGAUAAGCUGCCACCAACCAUUCAUAACGUCGUGGUCACGGCCAUGGAUUCCUCCUUCUCCAGACGCUCCCUAUGCCUCCUCCUCCUGGCCGUCUGCCUCCAUGGCUCCCCCGCCACGUCCCGCCCGGCCACCAAGGACACUGACCCGAUGACGCUGCGGAUGAUGGAGCAGCGAUUCCGGCGAUGGAAGGCGGAGCACAACCGGACCUAUUCCACCCCGGAGGAAGAGCGCCACCGGCUCCGCGUCUACGCCCACAACGUGCGCUACAUCGAGGCCACCAACGAGGACGCCGGCGCCGGGCUCACCUACGAGCUCGGCGAGACCGCCUACACCGACCUCACCAGCGACGAGUUCAUGGCCAUGUACACGUCGCGGGCGCCGCCCCUCUCGGACGACGACGACGCGCCGAUGAUGAUGAUCACCACCCGCGCCGGGCCGGUCGACGCCGGUGGACGGCGGCAGCAGGUGUACGUGAACGAGUCGGCCGGCGCGCCGGCGAGCGUUGACUGGCGCGAGAGAGGCGCCGUCACGGCGGUGAAGAACCAAGGCCAGUGCGGAUCGUGUUGGGCAUUCUCCACCGUAGCGGUGGUCGAAGGAAUCUACCAAAUCCAAACUGGGAAACUUGCCUCGCUCUCAGAGCAAGAGCUGGUGGACUGCGACAAGUUGGACCAUGGUUGCAAUGGUGGAGUGAGCUAUCGUGCGCUGCAGUGGAUCACCUCCAACGGCGGCAUCACCUCCCAGGAAGACUAUCCAUAUACAGCAAAGGAUGACACUUGUGACACCACAAAGCUUUCGCACCAUGCCGCUUCCAUCUCAGGCUUCCAACGUGUGGCAACGAGGAGCGAGCUAUCGUUGACAAACGCGGUGGCCAUGCAACCCGUGGCGGUGUCGAUAGAGGCUGGCGGAGCCAACUUCCAGCACUACCGGAAUGGCGUGUACAAUGGUCCAUGUGGGACGCGGCUGAACCAUGGCGUUACGGUGGUAGGGUACGGGGAGGACGAAGUGACUGGGGAAAGUUACUGGAUCGUGAAGAACUCGUGGGGUGAGAAGUGGGGCGAUAGUGGGUACCUCAGAAUGAAGAAGGGCAUCAUAGACAAGCCCGAGGGGAUAUGCGGCAUCGCCAUUCGGCCAUCUUUCCCGUUCAUGUGA